rnacentral:misc_RNA from 1 species
UCCGGUUUGGCACCGGCAGUCUUCCUAGAGUCCCCGGCAUGACCCGCUGGCAACAUGAGGAAGGGGUUGCGCUCGUUGCGCCACUUAAGGCAACACCUCACGGCACGAGCUGACGACGACCAUGCAGCACCUGUGCGGGCUCCCGUAGGAGGACCGUGUUUCCACGGCUUCACCCCGCAUGUCAAGCCCUGGUAAGGUUCUUCGCGUCGCGUCGAAUUAAGCCACAUGCUCCGCCGCUUGUGCGGGCCCCCGUCAAUUCCUUUGAGUUUUAGCCUUGCGGCCGUACUUCCCAGGCGGGGCACUUAAUGCGUUAGCUACGGCACGGAGUCCGUCGAUAAGACCCCACACCUAGUGCCCAACGUUUACGGCGUGGACUAC